rnacentral:rRNA from 1 species
GUGCCAGCCGCCGCGGUAAUACGUAGGAGGCGAGCGUUGUCCGGAGUUACUGGGCGUAAAGGGUGCGCAGGCGGCGGUGCGCGUGGAUAUGUGAAAUCUCCUGGCUUACCUGGGAGAAUGGUAUCCAGACGGCAUCGCUUGAGGGUCGGAGAGGGGCGUGGAAUUCCGGGUGGAGCGGUGAAAUGCGUAGAGAUCCGGAGGAACACCGACGGCGUAAGCAGCGCCCUAGACGAGUCCUGACGCUCAGGCACGAAAGCUGGGGGAGCAAACAGGAUUAAAUACCCCGGUAGUCC